AACGAACGCUGGCGGCAGGCUUAACACAUGCAAGUCGAGCGCCCCGCAAGGGGAGCGGCAGACGGGUGAGUAACGCGUGGGAAUCUACCCAUCUCUACGGAAUAACGCAUGGAAACGUGUGCUAAUACCGUAUACGUCCUUCGGGAGCAAGAUUUAUCGGAGAUGGAUGAGCCCGCGUUGGAUUAGCGAGUUGGUGGGGUAAAGGCCUACCAAGGCGACGAUCCAUAGCUGGUCUGAGAGGAUGCUCAGCCACACUGGGACUGAGACACGGCCCCGACUCCUACGGGAGGCAGCAGUGGGGAAUAUUGGACAAUGGGCCCAAGCCUGAUCCAGCCAUGCCGCGUGAGUGAUGAAGGCCCUAGGGUUGUAAAGCUCUUUCACCGGUGAAGAUAAUGACGGUGACCGGAGAAGAAGCCCCGGCUAACUUCGUGCCAGCAGCCGCGGUAAGAC
rnacentral:rRNA from 1 species